UGACAGUACUCCUACGGGGAGGCAGCAGUCGGGGGAAUAUUGCACAAUGGGCGCAAGCCUGAUGCAGCCAUGCCGCGUGUGUGAAGAAGGCCUUCGGGUUGUAAAGCACUUUCAGUCGUGAGGAAGGUAGUGUAGUUAAUAGCUGCAUUAUUUGACGUUUAGCGACAGAAGAAGCACCGGCUAACUCCGUGCCAGCAGCCGCGGUAAUACGGAGGGUGCGAGCGUUAAUCGGAAUUACUGGGCGUAAAGCGCAUGCAGGUGGUUUGUUAAGUCAGAUGUGAAAGCCCGGGGCUCAACCUCGGAAUAGCAUUUGUAAACUAGGCAGACUAGAGUACUGUAGAGGGGGGUAGGAAUUUCAGGUGUAGCGGUGAAAUAGCGUAGAGAUCUGAAGGAAUACCGGUGGCGAAGGCGGCCCCCUGGACAGAUACUGACACUCAGAUGCGAAAGCGUGGGGAGCAAACAGGAUUAGAUACCCUGGUAG
rnacentral:rRNA from 1 species